AUACGGAGGGGGCUAGCGUUGUUCGGAAUCACUGGGCGUAAAGCGCGCGUAGGCGGGCUGCAUAGUCGAGGGUGAAAGCCCGGGGCUCAACCCCGGAAUAGCCCUCGAAACUGGCAGUCUAGAGUCCGGGAGAGGUGAGUGGAAUUCCUAGUGUAGAGGUGAAAUUCGUAGAUAUUAGGAAGAACACCAGUGGCGAAGGCGGCUCACUGGCCCGGUACUGACGCUGAGGUGCGAAAGCGUGGGGAGCAAACAGGAUUAGAAACCCGGGUAGUCC
rnacentral:rRNA from 1 species